AACUUUCGGCAACGGAAUCUCUUGGUUCUCGCAUCGAUGAAGAACGCAGCGAAUUGCGAUAUGUAAUGUGAAUUGCAGAAUUCAGUGAAUCAUCGAAUCUUUGAACGCACCUUGCGCCCUUUGGUAUUCCGAAGGGCAUGCCUGUUUGAGUGUCAUUAAAUUCUCAACUUCAAAGGGCUUUGUUGCCUCUCUGAAGCUUGGAUUAUGGAGGUCUUAAAUUGCCGGCUUCACAGUCAGCUCCUCUUAAAUGCAUUAGCGGAACUUUUUUGAUGAACCUUUUAAAAGGGGACCAGCUUUGGCUCGAUAAUAUUAUCUAUGCUAUUGUUGUGAGAACCUAUGGUUUGUUAUGUUCAGCUUCUAAUGGUCCUUUGGGACUGUCUCUCUUGAGGCAUACACUCUUUAAGCUUGACCUCAAAUCAGGUAGGAUUACCCGCUGAACUUAAGCAUAUCAAUAAGCGGAGGCU
rnacentral:misc_RNA from 1 species